GAUGAACGCUGGCGGCGUGCCUAAUACAUGCAAGUCGAGCGAACGGACGAGAAGCUUGCGUCUCUGAUGUUAGCGGCGGACGGGUGAGUAACACGUGGAUAACCUACCUCUAAGACUGGGAUAACUUCGGGAAACCGGAGCUAAUACCGGAUAAUAUUUUGAACCGCAUGGUGCAAAAGUGAAAGACGGUCUUGCUGUCACUUAUAGAUGGAUCCGCGCUGCAUUAGCUAGUUGGUAAGGUAACGGCUUACCAAGGCAACGAUGCAUAGCCGACCUGAGAGGGUGAUCAGCCACACUGGAACUGAGACACGGUCCAGACUCCUACGGGAGGCAGCAGUAGGGAAUCUUCCGCAAUGGGCGAAAGCCUGACGGAGCAACGCCGCGUGAGUGAUGAAGGUCUUCGGAUCGUAAAACUCUGUUAUUAGGGAAGAACAUAUGUGUAAGUAACUGUGCACAUCUUGACGGUACCUAAUCAGAAAGCCACGGCUAACUACGUG
rnacentral:rRNA from 1 species